CAAAGAAAAACCGAAAACAUACAGUUGGAUGAGGAGAGCUACAUUGAAGAUUUGGCUGAAGAUUCCACACACAAAUACUUGGGAAUAGAAGAAAAUGCUACAAUAGAACACAAGAAAAUGAGAACAAAAACAACAAAAGAAUACCUAAA